rnacentral:rRNA from 1 species
CCUACGGGAGGCAGCAGUAGGGAAUCUUUCACAAUGGGCGAAAGCCUGAUGGAGCAACGCCGCGUGCAGGAUGAAGGCCUUCGGGUUGUAAACUGCUUUUAUAAGCGAGAAAUAUGAUGGUAACUUAUGAAUAAGGAUCGGCUAACUACGUGCCAGCAGCCGCGGUCAUACGUAGGAUCCGAGCAUUAUCCGGAGUGACUGGGUGUAAAGAGUUGCGUAGGUGGCAUAAUAAGUAGCUAGUGAAAUCUGGUGGCUCAACAAUUCAGACUAUUAGCUAAACUGUUAAGCUCGAGACCGUUAGGGGUAACUGGAAUUUCUAGUGUAGGAGUGAAAUCCGUAGAUAUUAGAAGGAACACCAAUAGCGUAGGCAGGUUGCUGGGACGGUUCUGACACUAAGGCACGAAAGCGUAGGGAGCAAACGGGAUUAGAUACCCCUGUAGUC